GGAAAUCAAAUGUGUGCAUAAAUACACAAUGAAAUAAAGGUGCCAUUAAAAUAAUUAUAGCAGCUACACACGGUGGCACAUGCCUGUAGUCCCAGCUACUUGGGAGAGUGAGACAGGAAGGUUAUUUGAGCCCGGGAGUUUGAGACCAGCUUGGGUAACAUAAAAAAAAAUUUAAAAAUAAAAUAAUUAUAAAUGUUAAAAAUGCUGACUAAGUAACACAACAUUAAUCAACAUGCUCCUUUCCCAGGGAACCAUGGUUUGCAGAGCACAGGACUGGCAUUCAAAGUACAGCAGAGGAGGUGCUGAAGCACUGGGUUUGGGGAGCCCCAAGAUGGGAAGCCACCAUCUCCAAAGCCAGUAGAUCAUCAAGGGAUGAUUAAGAAAACCACCCAGGAAAGCCACCAAGGAGCCGCCUACGCCAGCACAUCCAUCACCCAGACUCCCAGGGCACUGUUCAUCUGAGAGGCCAGACACAGCGGGGCUCACCAAAGCCUCAAAGCAGCAGCAACAACCUCUCAACCGCUGUUCUUGAGAUAGAUGAAGUACCUACUAUGUGACAGGCACUGUGCUUGGGACUGGGGAUGAAGCAACGAUGAAGGAGAUGAAAGAUGAAUGUGUGGCAGGGGGGUGGAUGAGUAGGUGGGUGAAGGGGUUGGAAGGGAGGAGGAAAGGAAGAGAGAACAUAUAUCAGGCUAUGGAAAAAAAGAAACAAACAGAGGCCAGGCAUGGUGGCUCACGCCUGUAAUCCCAGCACUUUGGGAGGCCGAGGCAGGCAGAUCACUUGAGGCCAGAUCACUGGCCAACAUGGCGAAACCCCAUCCUUACUAAAAAUACAAAAAUUAGCCAGGCAUGGUGGCAUGCACCUGUAGUCCCAGCUGCUCAGGAGGCUGAGGCAUGAGAAUUGUUUGAACCCAGGGGGUGGAGCUUGCAGUGAGCCAAGAUUGAGCCACUGCAUUCCAGCCUAGGCAACAGAGUGAGACUUCAUCUCAAAACAAACACCUAAGUAGAAAGACAGAUGAUGGCAGGAGAGAAAGGGGAUCUAUUUUGGUAGGAGAAUCAGGGGAAGCUGCUUUGAGGAGGUGACAAUUGAGCUGACAGCUGAAUGAAGCAGAGAAAGUAGCCAUGUGGAUAGCUGGGAGGAGUGAAAGGCACGUGCAAAGGCCCUGAGGCAGGAGCCUACCUGGAGUGUUUGAGGAAUAGCACAGAGGCCAUUAGCAGGUGGGAAUGGAGUGAGGGAGUGAGUGAGUGAGGAAGAGAGGCAGGCAGGGACCGGGUGACACGGCCUGGUCCACGGUGAGGAGCACAAGGCUACUCUGCAUCUAUACUCCGGGAGGGGAGACACAGGAGGGCUCAGAAUGGGGGUGGUGUAGACCAAGGUACACUCUGAACAGAUCCUCUGGCAGCUGUGUGGGGAGCAGAUGAAUGAAGGGUGCAAGUGGAGGCAGGGAAACCAGUUAGGAGGCUGUCACCCAGACAAGAGAUGAUGCUAGCUUGGCCCCAGGUGACAGAGGGGAGGAGGUAAGAAAUGGUUGAGCACCCUACCCCGAGCCCAGCUCCCACACAGAUGCACAGAACUGUGAGGAAGGCCAACAGGCCAACUGGAUGCCCAUAAAAGAUCACAAGGCAAAGAGAAGCAGAUGAGAAAGAGAAAGAGAUUCAAAAUCUAAAACGCGGCCGGGCACGGUGGCUCAUGCCUAUAAUCCCAGCAUUUUCGGAAGCCAAGGUGGGUGGAUCACUUGAGGCCAGGAGUUCAAGAUCAGCCUGACCAACAUGAUGAAACCCGUCUCUACCAAAAAUACAAAAAUUAGCCAGGCGUGGUGGCUAAUACCAGCUGCUUUGGAGGCUGAGGCAGGAGAAUCGCUUGAAUCCGGAGGCAGAUGUUGCAGUGAGCCGAGAUCGCACCACUGCACUCCAGCCUGGAUGACAGAGCAAGACUCCAUCUUAAAAAAAAAAAAAGAAAGAAAGAAAGAAAGAAAAAGAAAUCUAAAACACUUCUGCUUCCUACCUGUAAAAGCUUUACCUCAGGCAAGUCACAUUUCUCUGGGGCUCAGUUUUUUCAUUUGUAAGAUAGUAGAACCCAAUUCAUGGGGUUACAAUGGUUAAUGCAAGUCUUCUCUUAAUGUCUGGCCUAUUGUACAUGCUCAAUAAGUAAUACUUUUCUAACCUCUGCCUUUAAUGAUCUGAG
rnacentral:lncRNA from 10 species